GACGAACGCUGGCGGCGUGCCUAAUACAUGCAAGUCGAGCGGACGAUUGAAGAGCUUGCUCUUCAAUCGUUAGCGGCGGACGGGUGAGUAACACGUGGGCAACCUGCCUUAACGACUGGGAUAACUCCGGGAAACCGGGGCUAAUACCGGAUAACAUCUAGCACCUCCUGGUGCCAGAUUAAAAGAGGGCCUUUGGCUCUCACGUUAAGAUGGGCCCGCGGCGCAUUAGCUAGUUGGAGAGGUAACGGCUCCCCAAGGCGACGAUGCGUAGCCGACCUGAGAGGGUGAUCGGCCACACUGGGACUGAGACACGGCCCAGACUCCUACGGGAGGCAGCAGUAGGGAAUCUUCCGCAAUGGACGAAAGUCUGACGGAGCAACGCCGCGUGAGUGAGGAAGGGUUUCGGCUCGUAAAGCUCUGUUAUGAGGGAAGAACAAGUGCCAUUCAAAUAGGUUGGCACCUUGACGGUACCUCAUCAGAAAGCCACGGCUAACUACGUGCCAGCAGCCGCCGUAA
rnacentral:rRNA from 1 species